rnacentral:rRNA from 1 species
AUUGAACGCUGGCGGCAUGCCUUACAUAUGCAAGUCGAGCGGCAGCGCGGGGGCAACCCUGGCGGCGAGCGGCGGACGGGUGAGUAAUACAUCGGAACGUGUCCUUUCGUGGGGGAUAACCAGUCGAAAGACUGGCUAAUACCGCAUGAGAUCGAAAGAUGAAAGCGGGGGAUCGCAAGACCUCGCGCGAUUGGAGCGGCCGAUGUCGGAUUAGCUAGUUGGCGGGGUAAGAGCCCACCAAGGCGACGAUCCGUAGCUGGUUUGAGAGAACGAUCAGCCACACCGGAACUGAGACACGGUCCGGACUCCUACGGGAGGCAGCAGUGGGGAAUAUUGGACAAUGGGGGAAACCCUGAUCCAGCGACGCCGCGUGGGUGAAGAAGGCCUGCGGGUUGUAAAGCCCUUUCGGUAGGGACGAAAGCUCUUGCCCUAACACGGCAGGAGGUUGACUUAACCUACAUAAGAAGCACCGGCUAACUCUGUGCCAGCAGCCGCCGUAACAC